UUUUUUUUUUUUUUUUUUUUGUCUUUUUGCCUUUUCUAGGGCCACUUCCUGAGGCAUAUGGAGGUUCCCAAGCUAGGGGUCCAAUUGGAGCUGUAGCCACCGGCCUACGCCACAGCCACAGCAACAUGGGAUCUGAGCUGCAUCUGCGACCUACACCACAGCUCAUGGCAAUGCCGGAUCCUUAACCCACUGAGCAAGGCCAGGGAUACUAGUCAGAUUUGUUUCCACUGAGCCAUGACAGGAACACGGAAAUGCAGGAUUCUCAACCCACUGAGUGAGACUAGCGAUCGAACUGCAUCCUCACGGAUAUUAGUCUGGUUCUUAACCUGCUGAGCUGCAGUGGGAACUCUACUUUUUUAAAACUAUCCCUUUGAUGACAUUACUCCCUCUUCAGAAAACUUCAGCACCCCCCUCCCUUUGUCUCUUAAGUUGCAGGCUCAUGGCACUUUAGCAUCCCUCUCCUACGCGUGGCUCAGAAUAGCCUCUGCACUGAGACCCCUCCCAUGGCCCAUGGCCCGUCCCCCCAUCCCCACUUCACUGCACCAGCACCAGCACCAGCAGCUACCCCAGUGGGCAAAGCAGUUUGGUCUUUUCAUGCUGUCAUCUCAUUUGCAAACAGGCACGAUGCUCUCCUUGGAAUUCUUCUCAUAUCUGUAUCCAUCCAAUUAGAGCCAGUCUGCCCCAGGCCAUAGUGACAUCCCUUAAAACUGUGCCUUCUCCAAAACCACAGUGGAAGACAUUUAUGUUAGUGAGAUAAACAGUGUUGGGGGCUAGAGCGAGGGUCACAGGUGCAUAGAAACCCAGUUGUUGGACCAGCAGUUAUUUCAGUGAUAAUGGUGUUUUCAGUCUCCCUGGGAGGGUAACUUCAAACCUGAACAUCACUGGAAAAAUAAUUUCACUGGAUCUCGUUGCACAAGUUUGCAGUGAACUACACUGGGAGUUUAAAAUGGUUCCAUUUGGUGAAAAACAGCAUAGACAGCUGUAUUUCAAAUAGAAGAGCAUUUUUUUUUCCUGCUAGAAGCCUUAGUCUGCAUUAAAGGAAUCUUAUUUCUCAAUCGAUCACUUUGUAUCUAAUACACAUUAUGCAGACUCUGCAGAAGAAAUGUCUGUAGCGUUUAUCCUUCAGAAGUGAGUUUAAGUCCUUUUUCCUCCAUGGAGUUUGGCUCUUACCAGCCACUCUUCUAUCCGGUGGUUUUUUCCUUCAGAUACCUUUUUUUUUUUUUUGUAUUUUCUAGGGCCACACCUACAGCAUAUGGAGGUUCCCAGGCUAGUGGUCGAGUCAGAGCUGCAGCCACCAGCCUACACCACAGCCACAGAUCUGGCGUUGCUGUGAGCUGUGGUGUAGGUCGCAGACACGACUCGGAUCCCACAUUGUUGUGGCUCAGGCAUAGGCUGGCAACUACAGCUCCAAUUCCAAUUCCAAGAAAUGGCAAAAAGACAAAAAAAAAAAAUUCUACAAAAGCUCAGGCAUUUUCAGCAACAUGAAGCCCUUGGAAAUGAGAGUGACGAUAGGAUUAAAAAUUAGGAGUAUCGGUUAAAAGUUCAGGUCUGUUUUCUAACUCUACACAAGCAGAUAACUGUCCCACUUCCACUCCAAGUUAGGAAUGGAUGUGUUUUUGUUUGUUUGUUUUCUGUAGAGAUGACAUAGAAUAGAGGGUUCUGGAUUGGAAGGUAUCAGGAAAAGUUAAAAGUGGCCUCACAGGGUCUUGCAAUCAGGGAGACGGCAUUGAUUUACCGAGUCCUGAGAACCAUAGCAGCCUUCUUCCCCUUGUCCCCAAGCCCGCGGGCAGUCAGAUGAUUACCCCACCGGUAGGAGACUCCAGGAGUCGUCCCUGGGAUUCUGACCUAGAAAAUAACACUCGAGCAUACUGACAUGAGAGGGUCCCCAAAGAAGAGGUCUAACUAGGACAGUCUUAAAAUAAAUCCCUAAUCAGUGCCCCACCACCACACACACACACACUCUCGCAUACAUCCUUCUUGUUGACAUUCUAGAGCCCCACUUGUAAUUUAUCAGCAGACAGCCAAGGACCAUCAGACUCUGAAGGGACAUCUCUUUUAUGAGACACAUAGACUAAAACAUGCAAACAGAAGAAAAGCAACUCGAAAGAAAGAGAACCUUUGUAGGAAGAAGAAAUCUUUAACAAAGAGAAAUCAUUUGUAUCUUCAGAGAUACAAGAUGUGAUAUGACAUCCAUGAAACAGAACAGAGUUUAGAAAAGCUGGGAGAUCAAGUUAAGGAA
rnacentral:lncRNA from 1 species